rnacentral:snRNA from 1 species
GUACUUAGAAAGCACUUAUAGUAAAAUUAGAACGAUACAGAGAAGAUUAGCAUGGCCCCUGCGCAAGGAUGACACGCAAAAUUGUGAAGCUUUCCACAUUUUU